GUAAUAGCUCACUGGUCGAGUCGGCCUGCGCGGAAGAUGUAACGGGGCUAAACCAUGCACCGAAGCUGCGGCAGCGAACGUAUCACUUAAAGCGAUUCAGCGGAUGACGAUUGACGGAGCGAAGCGACGUCAAAGCGUAUACAAAGUCGAGUCGGUUUAAGGAUACGUUCGUUGGGUAGGGGAGCGUUCUGUAAGCCUGUGAAGGUGGCCUGUGAGGGUUGCUGGAGGUAUCAGAAGUGCGAAUGCUGACAUAAGUAACGAUAAAGCGGGUGAAAAGCCCGCUCGCCGGAAGACCA
rnacentral:rRNA from 2 species